UACGAACUGUGCGAACGUUAUUCGGAAUCACUGGGCUUACAGGGUGCGUAGGCGGCUUGUUAAGUAGGGCGUGAAAGCCCCCGGCUCAACCGGGGAAUGGCGCCCUAAACUGGCGAGCUAGAGUGAGAUAGGGGUGUGUGGAACUUCCGGUGGAGCGGUGAAAUGUGUUGAUAUCGGAAGGAACGCCGGUGGCGAAAGCGACACACUGGAUCUUGUCUGACGCUGAGGCACGAAAGCCAGGGGAGCGAACGGG
rnacentral:rRNA from 1 species